rnacentral:rRNA from 1 species
CCUACGGGUGGCUGCAGUGAGGAAUAUUGGUCAAUGGACGAGAGUCUGAACCAGCCAAGUAGCGUGAAGGAUGACUGCUCUAUGGUUUGUAAACUUCUUUUAUAUAGGAAUAAAACGAGGCACGUGUGCCUUUUUGUAUGUACCUUAUGAAUAAGGAUCGGCUAACUCCGUGCCAGCAGCCGCGGUAAUACGGAGGAUCCGAGCGUUAUCCGGAUUUAUUGGGUUUAAAGGGAGCGUAGGUGGGUAGUUAAGUCAGUUGUGAAAGUUUGCGGCUCAACCAUAAAAUUGCAAUUGAUACUGGCAGACUUGAGUACAGUUGAGGUAGGCGGAAUGCGUGGUGUAGCGGUGAAAUGCUUAGAUAUCACGAAGAACCCCGAUUGCGAAGGCAGCUUACUAAACUAUGACUGACAUUGAUGCUCGAAAGUGUGGGUAUCAAACAGGAUUAGAUACCCGAGUAGUC